GAUCCCGUAGCUUAGCCUGGUCAGAGCGCCGGUCUUAUAAGCCGGAGGUCGGGAGUUCAAAUCUCCCCGGGAUCA
rnacentral:tRNA from 1 species